UGGGCAGAGAGUGGAGAGGAAUAUGAUGACAAUACCUGUCAAAAUGUCAAUAAUAAGAUAGAUUACUUGGAAUAAUACAUAAUAAUAAAAUAUGUAUACAUGCAUGAUGGGAAGUUGAAUCAAACUAAAAGAAAACCAUAAAAGGGAGCGUGAAGAAAGAAUGAAAGACUAAUAAUAAAGAAAUGAUGCAAGGAGUAGAAACUGAUAAAGCAUGUAUUCUUUUUAUUUGUAUAUACGAUGAAAGGUGGGUAUUAACCAAGCAGUGAUAAUCCAAUAGUAAAAGAUUUUGGAGUACGACGUAAACCAUUUAUCUUGGGUUUAUUUCUAUUUCUGGGAACAAUAUUGCAAUUUGGAUAUGAGUUUUGGUCCAUACAAUUACAUAGUAGUCCAACAACAAAUGAUCUAGUUACCCUCUGCAUUAAUAGGAAGACAUUUGAAACCAUAUUAGGCAUGACAAUAUUCUGUAGCACUAUUUUGUGAUUCUCUAAAAAUUGACUGGAUCAACUGACAUAAAAAAAAAAUGGAGCUAUUAAAUAUAUAUGAUGGUUGUAAGACACAUAAAUAUAGAAAAAAUUAUAAAAGUGGAAAAAAUAAAAACUCAAAAAGAAAGGAAAAAAUAAUGAAAAAGAGAAUUGGGCAUGCAUGAUGGUGUUUGGUAUCCGCAGAGCCCGAGGACCCAAACUACAGAUGAGGUGGGGACUCUUCUGAUCUUUCUCUGAACUCCAUGUGACCCCCACAAUUCAUCUACAUUAUACACAUAACACAUGCAUAUAUACUUUUUAUUCCGAUUGUCUUUUACGUUUUUGGUUAUAUAUAUCCUUUAUAUCUUUCACAUAGACCGUAUAGUUGUGUGUAAUCGUAGCUGCUGCUGGCAAUUUUUACCUUCGAACUAUUAUGUAAACUUUUUAGUCGAUAUCAACCGAAAUGAUACUGGAAACGUUAGUCGACAGUGGUCGAAAAAAAGAUGGACAAUAAAAGGAGAGUUGUUUGAAGCAACGAGUUUGAGUUUUGGCCGUGAGAAAGGAAAUAUAUUUAACAAAACUCCUAAUUAAUUAAACCCUUUAUCAAAAAAAGAAAAGAAAAAUCCUAAUUAAUUGCAAAACGUUUGACGAAAUGGUGACAUAAUAAUAAGUGACCGACUAUUCCUUUUGUUAAAUAUGUCUACUAUAAUGUAGUUUUUUC
rnacentral:lncRNA from 1 species